GGGUUGUGAGGUUAAGCGACUAAGCGUACACGGUGGAUGCCCUGGCAGUCAGAGGCGAUGAAGGACGUGCUAAUCUGCGAUAAGCGCCGGUAAGGUGAUAUGAACCGUUAUAACCGGCGAUUUCCGAAUGGGGAAACCCAGUGUGACUCGUCACACUAUCAUUAACUGAAUCCAUAGGUUAAUGAGGCGAACCGGGGGAACUGAAACAUCUAAGUACCCCGAGGAAAAGAAAUCAACCGAGAUUCCCCCAGUAGCGGCGAGCGAACGGGGAGGAGCCCAGAGCCUGAAUCAGCAUGUGUGUUAGUGGAAGCGUCUGGAAAGGCGCGCGAUACAGGGUGACAGCCCCGUACACAAAAGCGCAUGUGCUGUGAGCUCGAUGAGUAGGGCGGGACACGUGGUAUCCUGUCUGAAUAUGGGGGGACCAUCCUCCAAGGCUAAAUACUCCUGACUGACCGAUAGUGAACCAGUACCGUGAGGGAAAGGCGAAAAGAACCCCGGCGAGGGGAGUGAAAAAGAACCUGAAACCGUGUACGUACAAGCAGUGGGAGCCCCACCACUAAGCCAGUGGUGAACUCCACAUACGCAUCCUUUGCUGAGGAUACGGUUAACGGAGCGAAAGCGACGUUCAACCUCAAAAGAAGCAGAGGGGGCUUAGUGGUGGGGUGACUGCGUACCUUUUGUAUAAUGGGUCAGCGACUUAUAUUCUGUAGCAAGGUUAACCGAAUAGGGGAGCCGGAGGGAAACCGAGUCUUAAU
rnacentral:rRNA from 1 species